UACGAAGGAUCCAAGCGUUAUCCGGAUUUAUUGGGUUUAAAGGGUGCGUAGGCGGGCUAUUAAGUCAGUGGUGAAAGCCUGCAGCUUAACUGCAGAAUUGCCAUUGAUACUGAUGGUCUUGAGUACACUUGAGGUGGGCGGAAUGUGUCGUGUAGCGGUGAAAUGCGCAGAUAUCAGGAGGAACACCGGUGGCGAAGGCAGGUCUCUGGGCCGUAACUGACGCUGAGGAGCGAAAGCAUGGGGAGCGAACAGG
rnacentral:rRNA from 1 species